rnacentral:tRNA from 1 species
UGUCCUGUAGCUCAAUUGGCAGAGCGCCGCUCUCUGAAAGCGGAUGUUGCUGGUUCAAGCCCAGCCGGGACAGCCA